rnacentral:rRNA from 1 species
GUGGGGAAUAUUGGACAAUGGGCGCAAGCCUGAUCCAGCCAUGCCGCGUGUGUGAAGAAGGUCGUAAGAUUGUAAAGCACUUUAAGUAGGGAAGAGGGAUAUUGUGCUAAUACCACAAAUAUUCGGACAUUACCUACAGAAUAAGCACCGGCUAACUCUGUGCCAGCAGCCGCGGUAAUACAGAGGGUGCGAGCGUUAAUCGGAAUUACUGGGCGUAAAGCGCGCGUAGGUGGCUAAUUAAGUCGGAUGUGAAAUCCCCGAGCUCAACUUGGGAAUUGCAUUCGAUACUGGUUAGCUAGAGUAUGAGAGAGGAAGGUAGAAUUCCAGGUGUAGCGGUGAAAUGCGUAGAGAUCUGGAGGAAUACCGAUGGCGAAGGCAGCCUUCUGGCUCAAUACUGACGCUGAGGUGCGAAAGCAUGGGGAGCAAACAGGAUUAGAAACCCGGGUAGUCC